CGAGUAGGGCGGGACACGUGAUAUCCUGUCUGAAUAUGGGGGGACCAUCCUCCAAGGCUAAAUACUACUGACUGACCGAUAGUGAACCAGUACCGUGAGGGAAAGGCGAAAAGAACCCCUGUGAGGGGAGUGAAAUAGAACCUGAAACCGUGUACGUACAAGCAGUAGGAGCACCUUCGUGGUGUGACUGCGUACCUUUUGUAUAAUGGGUCAGCGACUUAAUUUUAGUAGCAAGGUUAACCGUUUAGGGGAGCCGUAGGGAAACCGAGUCUUAACUGGGCGUACAGUUGCUAGGAUUAGACCCGAAACCAGGUGAUCUAGCCAUGGGCAGGUUGAAGGUUGAGUAACAUCAACUGGAGGACCGAACCGACUAAUGUUGAAAAAUUAGCGGAUGACUUGUGGCUAGGGGUGAAAGGCCAAUCAAACCUGGAGAUAGCUGGUUCUCCCCGAAAGCUAUUUAGGUAGCGCCUCGGACGAAUACUACUGGGGGUAGAGCACUGUUAAGGCUAGGGGGUCAUCCCGACUUACCAACCCUUUGCAAACUCCGAAUACCAGUAAGUACUAUCCGGGAGACACAC
rnacentral:rRNA from 1 species